rnacentral:rRNA from 1 species
GUGCACGCUGGCGGUAGGCCUAACACAUGCCAGUCGAACGGCAGCACAGUAAGAGCUUGCUCUUACGGGUGGCGAGUGGCGGACGGGUGAGGAAUACAUCGGAAUCUACUUUUUCGUGGGGGGUAACGUAGGGAAACUUACGCUAAUACCGCAUACGACCUACGGGUGAAAGCAGGGGAUCUUCGGACCUUGCGCGAUUGAAUGAGCCGAUGUCGGAUUAGCUAGUUGGCGGGGUAAAGGCCCACCAAGGCGACGAUCCGUAGCUGGUCUGAGAGGAUGAUCAGCCACACUGGAACUGAGACACGGUCCAGACUCCUACGGGAGGCAGCAGUGGGGAAUAUUGGACAAUGGGCGCAAGCCUGAUCCAGCCAUACCGCGUGGGUGAAGAAGGCCUUCGGGUUGUAAAGCCCUUUUGUUGGGAAAGAAAAGCAGCAGGUUAAGACCCCGCUGUUCUGACGGUACCCAAAGAAUAAGCACCGGCUAACUUCGU